GCCAGAAGACCAUGAGACUCUGCAUACCCUUCAUGACUUACUCUGAAGUAGAAUGGACUGAAUUGUAAAAUAGAAAAGACUAAUGAAGCAGUACUUCUAAAGCAGUGGAGUGAUGUAUUUAUCAGGAAACACACUUAGUGGCCGCUGAAAUGCUAAAGCUUAACGCCUUGAAGUGGAAGGUCCUCGCAUCCUCCCCUUUUACUUCCAAGACCAGAGGGGUGGCGAUAUUGGUCAGAACUACUGUCCCAAUUACACUCACAUCUGUGAUUGAUGACCCUGAAGGUGCUGGGACCCGGCUGGCGACGGGGACCAAGGCAGCGCGUGAGACGGAGGGGAUGAAGCAGCACGGCCAGGAGCAGUCCCCUCCACCUGCCCAGGUAGGAGCUGCCGUUGGUU